UACGCUAAUACCGCAUACGACCUACGGGUGAAAGCAGGGGAUCUUCGGACCCUGCGCGAUUGAAUGAGCCGAUGUCGGAUUAGCUAGUUGGCGGGGUAAAGGCCCACCAAGGCGACGAUCCGUAGCUGGUCUGAGAGGAUGAUCAGCCACACUGGAACUGAGACACGGUCCAGACUCCUACGGGAGGCAGCAGUGGGGAAUAUUGGACAAUGGGCGCAAGCCUGAUCCAGCCAUACCGCGUGGGUGAAGAAGGCCUUCGGGUUGUAAAGCCCUUUUGUUGGGAAAGAAAUCCAGCUGGCUAAUACCCGGUUGGGAUGACGGUACCCAAAGAAUAAGCACCGGCUAACUUCGUGCCAGCAGCCGCGGUAAUACGAAGGGUGCAAGCGUUACUCGGAAUUACUGGGCGUAAAGCGUGCGUAGGUGGUCGUUUAAGUCCGUUGUGAAAGCCCUGGGCUCAACCUGGGAACUGCAGUGGAUACUGGGCGACUAGAGUGUGGUAGAGGGUAGCGGAAUUCCUGGUGUAGCAGUGAAAUGCGUAGAGAUCAGGAGGAACAUCCAUGGCGAAGGCAGCUACCUGGACCAACACUGACACUGAGGCACG
rnacentral:rRNA from 1 species